GAGCAGUCCAGGUUGUAAACGGUGUUUCCCUCCAUUUUUAAAUAAGUCAAGAGCAAACACGUUAUCUUGAAACUGCAGUUAUUUUCUUCGGUGGAAUAUACGUCCACCAGGCUAAGAAAAAGAAAAGAAGGGACGCUGCCUUGCCGAUAAAAGCUAACGCCAGCAUGUACCUGAAAAGAAGUUCAACAAUGGAGCAUCGUACGCAAGAUUAUCGACCCCAGCCAUGAUUCUUCUGAAAAAUAAGAAAAUAUUGAAAUCCAGAAGAUCGAUCAUCUUCGUCUUGACGUCACCGCCCUGUACGUACUCCAAGGCGAGACCUAAAACGGCACCGAGAAAAAGGAAAAA